AAAUUGAAGAGUUUGAUCAUGGCUCAGAUUGAACGCUGGCGGCAGGCCUAACACAUGCAAGUCGAGCGGUAGCACAGAGAGCUUGCUCUCGGGUGACGAGCGGCGGACGGGUGAGUAAUGUCUGGGAAACUGCCUGAUGGAGGGGGAUAACUACUGGAAACGGUAGCUAAUACCGCAUAAUGUCGCAAGACCAAAGUGGGGGACCUUCGGGCCUCAUGCCAUCAGAUGUGCCCAGAUGGGAUUAGCUAGUAGGUGGGGUAACGGCUCACCUAGGCGACGAUCCCUAGCUGGUCUGAGAGGAUGACCAGCCACACUGGAACUGAGACACGGUCCAGACUCCUACGGGAGGCAGCAGUGGGGAAUAUUGCACAAUGGGCGCAAGCCUGAUGCAGCCAUGCCGCGUGUGUGAAGAAGGCCUUCGGGUUGUAAAGCACUUUCAGCGGGGAGGAAGGCGGUGAGGUUAAUAACCUCAUCGAUUGACGUUACCCGCAGAAGAAGCACCGGCUAACUCCGUGCCAGCAGCCGCGGUAAUACGGAGGGUGCAAGCGUUAAUCGGAAUUACUGGGCGUAAAGCGCACGCAGGCGGUCUGUCAAGUCGGAUGUGAAAUCCCCGGGCUCAACCUGGGAACUGCAUUCGAAACUGGCAGGCUAGAGUCUUGUAGAGGGGGGUAGAAUUCCAGGUGUAGCGGUGAAAUGCGUAGAGAUCUGGAGGAAUACCGGUGGCGAAGGCGGCCCCCUGGACAAAGACUGACGCUCAGGUGCGAAAGCGUGGGGAGCAAACAGGAUUAGAUACCCUGGUAGUCCACGCCGUAAACGAUGUCGAUUUGGAGGUUGUGCCCUUGAGGCGUGGCUUCCGGAGCUAACGCGUUAAAUCGACCGCCUGGGGAGUACGGCCGCAAGGUUAAAACUCAAAUGAAUUGACGGGGGCCCGCACAAGCGGUGGAGCAUGUGGUUUAAUUCGAUGCAACGCGAAGAACCUUACCUGGUCUUGACAUCCACAGAACUUAGCAGAGAUGCUUUGGUGCCUUCGGGAACUGUGAGACAGGUGCUGCAUGGCUGUCGUCAGCUCGUGUUGUGAAAUGUUGGGUUAAGUCCCGCAACGAGCGCAACCCUUAUCCUUUGUUGCCAGCGGUUCGGCCGGGAACUCAAAGGAGACUGCCAGUGAUAAACUGGAGGAAGGUGGGGAUGACGUCAAGUCAUCAUGGCCCUUACGACCAGGGCUACACACGUGCUACAAUGGCAUAUACAAAGAGAAGCGACCUCGCGAGAGCAAGCGGACCUCAUAAAGUAUGUCGUAGUCCGGAUUGGAGUCUGCAACUCGACUCCAUGAAGUCGGAAUCGCUAGUAAUCGUAGAUCAGAAUGCUACGGUGAAUACGUUCCCGGGCCUUGUACACACCGCCCGUCACACCAUGGGAGUGGGUUGCAAAAGAAGUAGGUAGCUUAACCUUCGGGAGGGCGCUUACCACUUUGUGAUUCAUGACUGGGGUGAAGUCGUAACAAGGUAACCGUAGGGGAACCUGCGGUUGGAUCACCUCCUUACCUUAAAGAA
rnacentral:rRNA from 2 species